CGGUGUUUAACUGGCGUGAUGUGGGACGUCCUACCGGUGGGCUUAGCCUCGCGAGGGGCGGCCCAACUAAUAUCCCGUCGCGGUGCUCUUUACUGAGUGUCGAGUCGGGCCGGUACGUUUACUUUGAACAAAUUAGAGUGCUUAAAGCAGGCUAUCCUCGCCUGAAUACUGCGUGCAUGGAAUAAUGGAAUAGGACCUCGGUUCUAUUUUGUUGGUUUUCGGAACCCCGAGGUAAUGAUUAAUAGGGACAGAUGGGGGCAUUCGUAUUGCGACGUUAGAGGUGAAAUUCUUGGAUCGUCGCAAGACGGACAGAAGCGAAAGCAUUUGCCAAAAAUGUUUUCAUUAAUCAAGAACGAAAGUUAGAGGUUCGAAGGCGAUCAGAUACCGCCCUAGUUCUAACCAUAAACGAUGCCAGCUAGCGAUCCGCCGAAGUUCCUCCGAUGACUCGGCGGGCAGCUUCCGGGAAACCAAAGCUUUUGGGUUCCGGGGGAAGUAUGGUUGCAAAGCUGAAACUUAAGGGAAUUGACGGAAGGGCACCACCAGGAGUGGAGCCUGCGGCUUAAUUUGACUCAACACGGGAAACCUCACCAGGCCCAGACACCGGAAGGAUUGACAGAUUGAUAGCUCUUUCUUGAUUCGGUGGGUGGUGGUGCAUGGCCGUUCUUAGUUGGUGGAGCGAUUUGUCUGGUUAAUUCCGAUAACGAACGAGACUCUAGCCUGCUAAAUAGGCGUACCUUAUGGUAUCGCGAAGGCCCCCGGCUUCGGCCGGUGGGUUUUUACUACCAACGUACAAACAAAUCUUCUUAGAGGGACAGGCGG
rnacentral:rRNA from 1 species